rnacentral:misc_RNA from 1 species
UUUCCGUAGGUGAACCUGCGGAAGGAUCAUUAAAGAGAAUAUGCCCUUCGGGGUAGAUCUCCCACCCUUUGUUUAUAUUACCUUUGUUGCUUUGGCAGGCCCGUCUUCGGGCCACCGGCUUCGGCUGGUCAGUGCUUGCCAGAGGACCCAAAACUCUUAUUAUUAAUGUCGUCUGAGUACUAUAUAAUAGUUAAAACUUUCAACAACGGAUCUCUUGGUUCUG